GACGAACGCUGGCGGUGUGCUUAACACAUGCAAGUCGAACGGAAAGGCCCUGCUUUUGUGGGGUGCUCGAGUGGCGAACGGGUGCGUAACACGUGAGUAACCUGCCCUUGACUUUGGGAUAACUUCAGGAAACUGGGGCUAAUACCGGAUAGGAUCUCCUGCUGCAUGGUGGGCGUUGGAUAGUCUCGGCGGUUGGGGAUGGACUGGCGGCUUAUGAGCUUGUUGGUUGGGUAGUGGCUUACCAAGGCUUUGACGGGUAGCCGGCCUGAGAGGGUGACCGGCGACAAUGGGACUGAGGGACGGCCCAGACUCGUACGGGAGGCAGCAGUGGGGAAUAUUGCACAAUGGGCGGAAGCCUGAGGAAGCAACGCCGCGUGCGUGAUGACGGCCUGCGGGUUGUAAACCGCUUUCGCCUGUGACGAAGCGUGAGUGACGGUAAUGGGUAAAGAAGCACCGGCUAACUACGUG
rnacentral:rRNA from 1 species